GUUCAGGGAGGGAACAGGGAGUAUGGUCCUGUCAGUUGUUUUAAGGUCUUUGGAUUUUACUCUGAAUAAAACGAGAGGCCUUUGGAGAGCUGUCAGUUCCGGAACCACAAGUCUAACAGGUUUAUUAGGAUCACACUGGUGACUGAGUUAAGACCAGGCUGUAUGGGGCAAAUACAAAGGAAGAGCCUCCAAGAAGUAAUCUGGGUGAGAGAAGACUGAGAGUUGCAGCAGGCUGGUCACAGGGCAGAUGAUGAGAAAUUGCUGGAUCCAGGAUGUAUUUGGGAGGCUCUGUGUUAGUGGAUUCACAAGCAACCUGUACUCCUCAAAGAAAGAUGAUAAGAUGAAGGAGAUCUCUAGAACCAGCAACUGGGGCUCUUCCUUCAGUGAAAAAAGUGGGUGUAUGCAGACUCAUCCAUCCAUGAAUCUAGAUUGCAGGGAUGUGACCUAUGUAAUGAACUUGCUACUUAUUGCUCAUCAUCAUCUUCUUCAAUGACAAAAAAGAAAAUAGUAACAAUGAAUACGUCUCUUGGGCAAAAUAAAUAAUGAGAUUGUUACAGCCCGCCUGCACCCAGGUGAAAUAAACAGCCAUGUUGCUCACACAAAGCCUGUUUGGUGGUCUCUUCACACGGAAGCGCAUGAAAUUUGGUGCUGUGACUCGGAUCGGGGGACCUCCCUUGGGAGAUCAAUCCCCUGUCCUCCUGUUCUUUGCUCCGUGAGAAAUAUCUACCUACAACCUCAGAUCCUCAGACCAACCAGCCCAAGGAACAUCUCACUAAUUUUAAAUCAGGUAAGCGGCCUCUUCUUACUCUCUUCUCCAACUUCCCUCACUGUCCCUCAACCACUUUCUUCUUUCCACUCUUCAAUCUCUCCUUUCUCUUAAUUUCAAUUCCUUUCAUUUUCUGGGAGAGACAAAGGAGACACGUUUUAUCUGUGGACCCAAAACUCCGGCGCCGGUCACGGACUGGGAUGGCAGCCUUCCCUUGGUGUUUAAUCAUUGCAGGGAUGCCUCUCUGAUUGUUCACCCACGUUUCAAAGGUGUCAGAGCACGCAGGGACGCCUGCCUUGGUCCUUCACCCUUAGCGGCAAGUCCUGCUUUUCUGGGGAAGGGGCAAGUACCCCAACCCCUUCUCUCCUUGUCUCUACCCCUUCUCUGCUUUCCUGGGGCAGGGGCAAGUACCCCUCAACCCCUUCUCCUUCACCCUUAGCGGCAAGUCCCGCUUUCCUAGGGGGCAAGAACCCCCCAAUCGCUUAUAUCCACACCCCAACCUCUUAUCUCUGUGCCCCAAUCCCUUAUUUCCGCACCCUGACCUCUUAUCUCUGUACCCCAAUCCCUUAUUUCCGUGCCCCAACCCCUUCUCUGCUUUUCUGGAGGGCAAGAACCCUCCACCCCUUCUCUCUGUCUCUACUCUUUUCUCUGGGCUUGCCUCCUUCACUAUGGGUAAGCUUCCACCUUCCAUUCCUCCUUCUUCUCCCUUAGCCUGUGUUCUCAAAAACUUCAAACCUCUUCAACUCACACCUGACCUAAAAUCUAAAUGCCUUUUCUUCUGCAAUGCCGCUUGACCCCAGUACAAACUUGACAGUAGUUCCAAAUAGCCAGAAAAUGGCACUUUGAAUUUUUCCAUCCUGCAAAAUCUAAGUAAUUCUUGUCGUAAAAUAGGCAAACGGUCUGAGGUGCCUGACGUCCAGGCAUUCUUUUACACAUCAGUCCCUUCCUAGUCUCUGUGCCCAGUGCAACUCGUCCCAAAUCUUCCUUCUUUCCCUCCUGCCUGUCCCCUCAGUCCCAACCCCAAGCAUCGCUGAGUCUUUCUAAUCUUCCUUUUCUACAGACCCAUCUGACCUCUCCCUUCCUCCCCAGGCUGCUCCUCGCCAGGCCGAGCUAGGUCCCAAUGCUUCCUCAGCCUCCGCUCCUCCACCCUAUAAUCUUUUUAUCGCCUCCCCUCCUCACACCUGGUCCGGCUUACAGUUUCGUUCGGUGACUAGCCCUCCCCCACCUGCCCAGCAAUUUACUCUUAAAAAGGUGGCUGGAGCCAAAGGCAUAGUCAAGGUUAAUGCUCCUUUUUCUUUAUCCCAAAUCAGAUAGCGUUUAGGCUCUUUUUCAUCAAAUAUAAAAAUCCAGCCCAGUUCAUGACUUGUUUGGCAGCAACCCUGAGACACUUUAUAGCCCUAGACCCUAAAAAGUCAAAAGGCCGUCUUAUUCUCAAAAUACAUUUUAUUACCCAAUCUGCUCCCGACAUUAAAUAAAACUCCAAAAAUUAAAUUCCGGCCCUCAAACCCCACAACACGAUUUAAUUAACCUCGCCUUCAAGGUGUACAAUAAUAGAAAAAAGUUGCAAUUCCUUGCCUCCACUGUGAGACAAACCCCAGCCACAUCUCCAGCACACAAGAACUUCCAAACGCCUGAACCGCAGCAGCCAGGCGUUCCUCCAGAACCUCCUCCCACAGGAGCUUGCUACACUUGCCGGAAAUCUGGCCACUGGGCCAAGGAAUGCCCGCUGCCCGGGAUUCCUCCUAAGCCGCGUCCCAUCUGUGUGGGACCCCACUGAAAAUCAGACUGUUCAACUCACCUGGCAGCCACUCCCAGAGCCCCAGGAACUCUGGCCCAAGGCUCUCUGACUGACUCCUUCCCAGAUCUUCUCGGCUUAGCGGCUGAAGACUGACACUGCCCGAUCGCCUCGGGAGCCCCCUAGACCAUCAUGGACGCCGAGCUUCCAGUAACUCUCACAGUGGAAGGUAAGCCCGUCCCCUUCUUAAUCAAUAUGGAGGCUACCCACUCCACAUUACCUUCUUUUCAAGGGCCUGUUUCCCUUCCCUCCAUAACUGUUGUGGGUAUUGACGGCCAGGCUUCUAAACCUCUUAAAACUCCCCAACUCUGGUGCCAACUUAGACAAUACUCUUUGAAGCACUCCUUUUUAGUUAUCCCCACCUGCCCAGUUCCCUUAUUAGGCUGAGACACUUUAACUAAAUUAUCUGCUUCCCUGACGAUUCCUGGACUACAGCUGUAUCUCAUUGCCGUCCUCCUUCCCAAUCCAAAGCCUCCUUUGCGUCCUCCUCUUGUAUCUCCCCACCUUAACCCACAAGUAUAAGAUACCUCUACUCCUUCCUUGGCGACCGAUCAUGCACCCCUUACCAUCUCAUUAAAACCUCAUCACCCUUACCCCACUCAAUGCCAAUAUCCCAUCCCACAGCACGCUUUAAAAAGAUUAAAGCCUGUUAUCACUCGCCUGCUACAGCAUGGCCUUUUAAAGCCUAUAAACUCUCCUUACAAUUCCCCCAUUUUACCUGUCCUAAAACCAGACAAGCCUUACAAGUUAGUUCAGGAUCUGCGCCUUAUCAACCAAAUUGUUUUGCCUAUCCACCCCGUGGUGCCAAACCCAUAUACUCUCCUAUCCUCAAUACCUGCCUCUAUAACCCAUUAUUCUGUUCUGGAUCUCAAACAUGCUUUCUUUACUAUUCCUUUGCACCCUUAAUCCCAGCCUCUCUUCACUUUCACUUGGACUGACCCUGACACCCAUCAAGCUCAGCAAAUUACCUAGGCUGUACUGCCGCAAAGCUUCACAGACAGCCCCCAUUACUUCAAUCAAGACCAAAUUUCUUCCUCAUCUGUUACCUAUCUCGGCAUAAUUCUCAUAAAAACACACGUGCUCUCCCUGCCAAUCGUGUCCAACUGAUCUCUCAAACCCCAGCACCUUCUACAAAACAACAACUCCUUUCCUUCCUAGGCAUGGUUAGCGUGGUCAGAAUUCUUACACAAGAGCCAGGACCACACCCUGUAGCCUUUCUGUCCAAACAACUUGACCUUACUGUUUUAGCCUAGCCCUCAUGUCUGCGUGCAGCGGCUGCCGCUGCAUUAAUACUUUUAGAGGCCCUCAAAAUCACAAACUAUGCUCAACUCACUCUCUACAGUUCUCAUAACUUCCAAAAUCGAUUUUCUUCCUCAUACCUGAUGCAUAUACUGUCUGCUUCCCGGCUCCUUCAGCUAUACUCACUCUUUGUUGAGUCUCCCACAAUUACCGUUGUUCCUGGCCCAGACUUCAAUCCGGCCUCCCACAUUAUUCCUGAUACCACACCUGACCCCCAUGACUGUAUCUCUCUGAUCCACCUGACAUUCACCCCAUUUCCCCAAAUUUCCUUCUUUCCUGUUCCUCACCCUGAUCACGCUUGAUUUAUUGAUGGCGGUGCCACCAGGCCUAAUCGCCACACAAAAGCAAAGGCAGGUUAUGCUAUAGUACAAGCCACUAGCCCGCCUCUUAGAACCUCUCAUUUCCUUUCCAUCGUGGAAAUCUAUCCUCAAGGAAAUAACUUCUCAGUGUUCCAUCUGCUAUUAUACUACUACUCCUCAGGGAUUAUUCAGGCCCCCUCCCUUCUCUAGACAUCAAGCUCGAGGAUUUGCCCCACCCAGGACUGGCAAAUUAGCUUUACUCAACAUGCUCGGAGUCAGAUAACUAAAAUACCUCUUAGUCUAGGUAGAUACUUUCACUGGAUAGGUAGAGGCCUUUCCUACAGGGUCUGAGAAGGCCACCGCAGUCAUUUCUUCCCUUCUGUCAGACAUAAUUCCUCAGUUUAGCCUUCCCACCUCAAUACAGUCUGAUAACAGACGAGCCUUUAUUAGUCAAAUCAACCAAGCAGUUUUUCAGGCUGCUAGUAUUCAGUGAAGCCUUUAUAUCCCUUACGGUCCUCCGUCUUCAAGAAAAGUAGAAUGGACUAAAGGUCUUUUAAAAACACACCUCACCAAGCUCAGCCACCAACUUAAAAAGGACUGGACAAUACUUUUACCACUUUCCCUUCUCAGAAUUCAGGCCUGUCCUCGGAAUGCUACAGGGUACAGCCCAUUUGAGCUCCUGUAUAGAUGCUCCUUUUUAUUAGGCCCCAGUCUCAUUCCAGACACCAGACCAACUUAGACUGUGCCCCAAAAAAGAACUUGUCAUCCCUACUAUCUUCUGUCUAGUCAUACUCCUAUUCACCGUUCUCAACUACUCAUACAUGCCCUGCUCUUGUUUACACUGCCGGUUUACACUGUUUUUCGAAGCCAUCACAGCUGAUAUCUCCUGGUGCUAUCCCCAAACUGCCACUCUUAACUCUUGAAGUAAAUAAAUAAUCUUUGCUGGCAGGACUAUGCUGAAUCUCCUUAGGCACUCUCUAAUCAGAUAUCCUGAGUCGUCCCAAUUCUUAGACCUUUUAUACCUGUUUUUCUCCUUCUGUUAUUCCAUUUAGUUUCUCAACUCAUCCAAAACCAUAUCCAGGCCAUCACCAAUCAUUCUAUAUGACAAAUGUUUCUUCUAACAUCCCCACAAUAUCACCCCUUACCACAAGACCUCCCUUCAGCUUAAUCUCUCCCACUCUAGGUUCCCACGCCGCCCCUAAUCCCGCUUGAAGCAGCCCUGAGAAACAUCGCCCAUUCUCUCUCCAUAUCACCCCCCCAAAAUUUUCGCCGCCCCAACACUUCAACACCAUUUUGUUUUAUUUUUAUUAUUAAUAAAAGAAGGCAGGAAUGUCAAGCCUCUGAGCCCAAGCCAAGCCAUCACAUCCCCUGUGACUUGCACAUAUACGCCCAGAUGGCCUGAAGUAACUGAAGAAUCACAAAAGAAGUGAAUAUGCCCUGCCCCACCUUAACUGAUGACAUUCCACCACAAAAGAAGUGUAAAUGGCUGGUCCUUGCUUUAAGGGAUGACAUUACCUUGUGAAAGUCCUUUUCCUGGCUCAUCCUGGCUCAAAAAGCACCUCCACUGAGCACCUCGCAACCCCCACUCCUGCCCGCCAGAGAACAAACCCCCUUUGACUGUAAUUUUCCUUUACCUACCCAAAUCCUAUAAAACGGCCCCACCCUUAUCUCCCUUCGCUGACUCUCUUUUCGGACUCAGCCAGCCUGCACCCAGGUGAAAUAAACAGCCAUGUUGCUCACACAAAGCCUGUUUGGUGGUCUCUUCACACGGACGCACAUGAAACUCACUAUGCCAAAGGGAAAAGUUCAGCUUGGGAACUGAUUCACUUGAAAAACGACAACAGUGACAACAACAAAACUGACUUCGUUUUGUUCCCAAACAGAUAGCUAUAAUUUCAC
rnacentral:lncRNA from 1 species